UUCCGGUUGAUCCUGCCGGACCUGACUGCUAUCGGAUUGAUACUAAGCCAUGCGAGUCAUUGUAGUAAUACAAGGCAGACGGCUCAGUAACGCGUAGUCAACCUACCCUAUGGACGGGGAUAACCUCGGGAAACUGAGAAUAAUACCCGAUAGAACAUUAUACCUGGAAUGGUUUAUGUUUCAAAUAAUUUAUUGCCGUAGGAUGGGACUGCGGCCUAUCAGUUUGUUGGUGAGGUAAUGGCCCACCAAGACUAUUACAGGUACGGGCUCUGAGAGGAGUAGCCCGGAGAUGGGUACUGGGACACGGACCCAGGCCCUAUGGGGCGCAGCAGGCGAGAAAACUUUGCAAUGUGCGAAAGCACGACAAGGUUAAUCCGAGUGGUUUCUGCUAAAGGAACCUUUUGUCAGUCCUAGAAACACUGGUGAAUAAGGGGUGGGCAAGUUCUGGUGUCAGCCGCCGCGGUAAAACCAGCACCUCAAGUGGUCAGGAUGAUUAUUGGGCCUAAAGCAUCCGUAGCCUGCUUUGUUAGUUUUCGGUUAAAUCCAUACGCUCAACGUAUGGGCUGCCGGGAAUACUGCAAAGCUAGGGAGUGGGAGAGGUAGACGGUACUCGGUAGGAAGGGGUAAAAUCCUUUGAUCUAUUGAUGACCACCUGUGGCGAAGGCGGUCUACCAGAACACGUCCGACGGUGAGGGAUGAAAGCUGGGGGAGCAAACCGGAUUAGAUACCCGGGUAGUCCCAACUGUAAACUAUGCAAACUCGGUGAUGCAUUGGCUUGAUGCCAAUGCAGUGCCGCAGGGAAGCCGUUAAGUUUGCCGCCUGGGAAGUACGUACGCAAGUAUGAAACUUAAAGGAAUUGGCGGGGGAGCACCACAAGGGUGAAGCCUGCGGUUCAAUUGGAGUCAACGCCGG
rnacentral:rRNA from 1 species